UCAUCAGAGAGGGCGCGCACGCGCAUCAC
rnacentral:sRNA from 1 species